GCGUCGUGCUCGCGGACGGCACGCCGGCGCCCGCGGCGCUGCUGCCGGCGCUCGCGGGCCGCGCGGUCGCGUGGGCGUUCGACCCGGUCGCCGACGCG
rnacentral:tRNA from 1 species